rnacentral:lncRNA from 1 species
UUCUGUUUACCUUUGGUUGAUGAUGAUUUGGUUCACUUUUGACCAAUUGUGUUUGACACUUUAUUUCUCCUUUCAUUCAUUUUCAUCUUCAUCUCAUUUCUUUUUUUAUUUUGGCCAAUGAGUUAAUAUCUUAUGGUUGGUCUUGACAUAUUUCAGCUUCUGCAGCAGCAGCAGCGUCAGCUAGAGCUUUGGCCUCAGCUUCCUUGGCCCUUUG